UCAGACGGCCGGGCAGCCGCUGGUGCGUGGGUAACUGCGUACUGGAGGAAAGUCCGGGCUCCAGGGAUACAGGGCGACGGCUAACGGCCGCCCGGCGCGAGCCGAGGGAAAGUGCCACAGAAAGCAAACCGCCGCGCGGCUUCGGCCAAACGGUAAGGGUGAAAGGGUGGGGUAAGAGCCCACCGCAGGCCUGGCGACAGGACUGGCACGGUAAACCCCGCCCGGAGCAAGACCGAAUAGGGGGCGCGCAUGGGCUGUAUCCCGCCUGCGCCCCGGGUGUGUCGCGUGAGGUGCCUGGCAACAGGCAUCCCAGAGGAAUGGCUGCCAGACCGUGGCAACACGGCGAACAGAACCCGGCUUACAGGCCGUCUGAUCAG
rnacentral:RNase_P_RNA from 2 species